CGAUGUGAGGGCGAUCUGGCUGCGACAUCUGUCACCCCACUGAUCGCCAGGGUUGAUUCGGCUGAUCUGCCUGGCCAGGCGGGUGUCCCCUUCCUCCCUCACUGCUCCAUGUGCGUCUCUCCCGAAGCUGCGCGAUCAGUUGAAGAGGACGACCUUCCCCGAUAGAGGAGGACCGUUCUUCGGUCAAGGGUAUACAAGUAGCUGCACUCCCCUGCUAGAACCUCCAAACAAGCUCUCAAGUUGCCAAAACAGGUGUUGAUUCCAUAACUAUAACCAGCAAAAUUGACUGAACUACAUCUAAAGGGGGCACAUUCUGUUU
rnacentral:snRNA from 1 species